UACGUAGGGGGCGAGCGUUGUCCGGAUUUAUUGGGCGUAAAGAGCGUGUAGGCGGCUUGUUAAGUCUUGCGUGAAAUCUCGGGGCUCAACCCCGAGCGGUCGUGAGAAACUGGCAGGCUAGAGUUCGGGAGAGGGAUGCGGAAUUCCAGGUGUAGCGGUGAAAUGCGUAGAUAUCUGGAGGAACACCGGUGGCGAAGGCGGCAUCCUGGACCGAUACUGACACUGAGGAGCGAAAGCCAGGGGAGCAAACGGG
rnacentral:rRNA from 1 species